AGGACUUUAGCUUAUAUUAAAGUUUUUGAGUUGCAUUCAAAGGAUGUGGGGUAGAACCUGCAAGUCCUAC
rnacentral:tRNA from 1 species